UGAGUCUCAACAACAACAACACCCAUCAAAAUGUUUAAGUGGCAAAUGCUGUACAGGUAACUCUCGAUUUACGCGAGUUUGGUUUACGCGUUUUUGAAAUACCGCGUGGUCCAAAAUACAAAUAAAUGUUUAAUUUACACGUUUUCUUUCACUUAAACGCGAUAUUUUCUGGAGUGUCCACCAGAUGUCUCACGCAACUGGACUCACACGGCCACACAGCUGAGCUCAGUUCUUCCCGCGCGCCACUUGAACAACAAUACAGUACCCACGCUGCUCAACAACAACAACACCCUCGCUGCUGUGCUACCAUGAGGGGAAGGGCAGCCAGAGGAGGAACCACGAGAGGGAGAGGAGUCAGAGUGAUACAGUGGGCAAUAAAGGUACAAACCGACCUCUUCUUGGAUUUACAUCGUUUUUGAUUUACGCGAUGACCUCUUCAAGGACACAAUACUCCCGUAAAUCAAGAGUUACCUGUACCAUUUUACUUACUGCUAAAAAUUUCCCUGAUCCCUUGAUUCAGAUUAAUUAAAAGAAUCCAACUACAAAUAGGUGUUUAUCAUACAUUAAUAAAAAUUGAUCACAGAAAUCUCUAAAUGGCAGAGACUGAAGUAGAAUUAUUGAAUAGCGUACAGCAAUCGUUGGGUUAAGACAGUCUCGCCCUACGACAUUUUUUAUUUUUUUUAUUUUUACGUGUAAGCCUAUAGCCCUGGUAGGCUUGCUUGAGGGGCCUGGAUGGUAGUUGGCCCCAGCCCGUCAUGGCGCAGACAAGUGUUUAUAGUGGCGCCAUCUUCUCUUGGCUCAUGCUGCCCCCCGGAACCCCUUCUUGAUUCACUUGGACGGUUUCCUCUAGAGUCCGGGUUGAUGGGUGGUCUUCAGGACAGCAUGUGGGUAGUUUUAAGCCACUCGGCGGUGACUGAAAAAUCCCAGGUGGUAGCGUGGGGAUUCGAACCCGCGUCGUCCAUCACGCGGUGAAUGCGGGUCCAGCACACUACCACUCAGCCACUGUCUUUCCUCAGUACCAGUAUACAUUUUUUUUAUGGGGGGAAGAAGAAAACUCGUAUAUUUAGUAGUGUGUUUCUCCUGUACCAAAUUAAUGACGUCCACUCAAACAACUUCUAUUUGGCAUCGUCGUCCAUCACGCGGUGAAUUUGGGUCCAGCACGCUACCACUCAGCCACCGCCUACCCUACGAUGCAGUCCCCAUAAAUGAUUAAAUAAUUUUUGUUUUGACUUUCGACGUUUGCGGCGUAAAUACAAACCGCGCGGGAAAUAGUUUGUUGACCGCGGCGGAAGAAAAGAACUGACAUUGGUGCAGUGUUUACAUUCCGCUCGUAUACCAUUAGGGGACCUUGGACACUGUGUUGUUUGGUUUCUGUUGCUUGUUUUUGCAACUUUGUGCCAUUAACCCAGCAACCUCGCCGGACCCAUUUUUGGGCUCCCGCGAGUCGGUCCGCUGAAACGGUGGACCCCAUACACGCCUCGGCUCAAAACGCCUAAUUCGAGCUAAUUGUAGGCGGGGCCGGCAUAGAGGAACCCACCAUGCAUGCCCUGGGUCAUUGUGGUGGGUGAGUGAUCUUGAGGUGGGGUUAUUGGUCAUAGGUGGUGCUGUAAGGUCAUGGCAGACUGAAUUAGCUAUCCAUACAGUAAUCACUUGUUAAAUUCUCUAUAGCAGACAACAAGUGACUCUCGGGUAGAUGCCACGCGUCACGAGACUGUUUAUUUUGUAACAAACACCACACGAAACAAUGGAGUUUGAGUAGAAGUAAAUAGUUUUAAUGGUUUUAUGGUUAUGAGAGGAGCAGGUACUCUGAUGUACAUUCCAUGCUCCUUUCUUAGUCUCAAAAUGCAGUGUAGUUUUGUCGUUUCUCAGCCACUUUUCAGCUUUCCUGUAGCCGAAGCACACGGGUUAAAACGCUUUGAAGGGAAUAUCUGUGUUUGUAAUCCAUGUGUGAGUCAGUAUAAGUGAGGGAGGCAAAUAUACAAGGCUUGGAAGUCGCUAGUUUGGCUGUGAUAAGGUAAGGCGUAGAGUUGCCCUUCACUCCAUGGUCCUGCAAUUACAGCAUUUUCCUGGCCUUAAAUCGUCCUUUGAAGGGAAUAUCUGUGUUUGUAAUCCAUGUGUGAGUCAGUAUAAGUGAGGGAGGCAAAUAUACAAGGCUUGGAAGUCACUAGUUUGGCUGUAAUAAGGUAAGGCGCAGAGUUGCCCUUAGUUCACUCCAUGGUCUUGCAAUUACAGCGUUUUCCCGGCCUUAAAACGUCCUUUGAAGGGAAUAUCUGUGUUUGUAAUCCAUGUGUGAGUCAGUAUAAGUGAGGGAGGCAAAUAUACAAGGCUUGGAAGUCGCUAGUUUGGCUGUGAUAAGGUAAGGCGCAGAGUUGCCCUUCACUCCAUGGUCCUGCAAUUACAGCAUUUUCCCGGCCCUAAAAUGUCCUUUGAAGGGAAUAUCUGUGUUUGUAAUCCAUGUGUGAGUCAGUAUAAGUGAGGGAGGCAAAUAUACAAGGCUUGGAGGUCGCUAGUUUGGCUGUAAUAAGGUAUGGCACAGAGUUGCCCUUCAUUCACUCCAUGGUCUUGCAAUUACAGCAUUUUCCCGGCCUUAAAUCGUCCUUUGAAGGUAAUAUCUGUGUUUGUAAUCCAUGUGUGAGUCAGUAUAUGUGAGGGAGGCAAAUAUACAAGGCUUGGAAGUCGCUAGUUUGGCUGUGAUAAGGUAAGGCGCAGAGUUGCCCUUCAUUCACUCCAAGGUCUUGCAAUUACAGCGUUUUCCUGGCCUUAAAUCGUCCUCUGAAGGGAAUAUCUGUG